GACGAACGCUGUCGGCGCGCCUAACACAUGCAAGUCGAACGGAAAGGCCUGCGUUCCUUUGUGUAUUGCGGUUACUCGAGUGUCGAACGGGUGAUUAACACGUUAGUGAUCUGCCCCCAACUUGGGUCUAAGCCUGGGAAACUUCGUCUAAUUCCCGCUGGGACUGCAUGGUGGUGCCUGUGGUGGACACCGAUUUUCUAGUGGUUGUGGCUGAGCUCGCGGCCUAUCAGCUUGUUGGUGGGGUAAUGGUCUACCAAGCCGGCGACGGGUAGCCGUCCUGAGAGGGGGGAAGGGCAGAGUGGGACGGAGAGACGGCGCAGAAUCCUACGGGAGGCAGCAGUGGGGAAGAUGGCAGAAGGGGCGAAAGCCUGAGGAAGCGCAGCGGCGUGGCGGAUGACGGAAUUCGGGUUGUAAACUCCAGGAGAAGGCGAGGAAGCUACGUGGUUGGAAGGGUGGUGACGGUAGUGGUAGAAGAAGCACCGGCUAACUACGUG
rnacentral:rRNA from 1 species